rnacentral:snRNA from 1 species
AACUUUGCGCAGCGGUGAUAUCGUAACCAAUGGGGUUUAACCAAGGUGUGAUUAUUGCUAGUAGAAAACUGUUGUGACCUUAGUAAUUACAGUUGGCUCUAUCAAUCCUUAAAAAUAAUAAUAAUAA